UACGUAGGGCGCAAGCGUUAUCCGGAAUUAUUGGGCGUAAAGAGCUCGUAGGCGGUUUGUCGCGUCUGCCGUGAAAGUCCGGGGCUUAACCUCCAGACGUCGAUGGAAACCGUAUGGCUAGAGUCCGGAAGAGGAGAGUGGAAUUCCUGGUGUAGCGGUGAAAUGCGCAGAUAUCAGGAAGAACACCCGUGGCGAAGGCGGCUCUCUGGGACGGUACUGACGCUGAGACGCGAAAGCGUGGGGAGCGAACAGG
rnacentral:rRNA from 1 species